rnacentral:rRNA from 1 species
AGUGAACGCUGGCGGUAGGCCUAACACAUGCAAGUCGAACGGCAGCACAGUAAGAGCUUGCUCUUACGGGUGGCGAGUGGCGGACGGGUGAGGAAUACAUCGGAAUCUACUUUUUCGUGGGGGAUAACGUAGGGAAACUUACGCUAAUACCGCAUACGACCUACGGGUGAAAGCAGGGGAUCUUCGGACCUUGCGCGAUUGAAUGAGCCGAUGUCGGAUUAGCUAGUUGGCGGGGUAAAGGCCCACCAAGGCGACGAUCCGUAGCUGGUCUGAGAGGAUGAUCAGCCACACUGGAACUGAGACACAGUCCAGACUCCUACGGGAGGCAGCAGUGGGGAAUAUUGGACAAUGGGCGCAAGCCUGAUCCAGCCAUACCGCGUGGGUGAAGAAGGCCUUCGGGUUGUAAAGCCCUUUUGUUGGGAAAGAAAAGCAGCAGGUUAAUACCCCGCUGUUCUGACGGUACCCAAAGAAUAAGCACCGGCUAACUUCG